GUAUAAUCUUUAAACCAUUUCUCCUGAAAGUAGUGUCCUAUUUGAUAGGGUUUGACUAGGUAUGACAUUCACAUUUGGCUGAUUGGGACGAGGUCCAAGCUCCUCCCCUCUCUCUCCUGCACCUUCAUCUUCGCCUGCCUGUCUGCUCUCUCUCUCUGUCUCUCUCUCUCUCUCUCUCUCUCUCUCUCUCUCUCUCUCUCUCUUUGUCUCAAACUCACUCUCCCUGCUUGAUUGUAUUAUCUGAAAUACACAUGAGAAGUCAUACUUAGAGGCAUAUUUCAUCUUAAAUUAACAUUAGGAUUAGACUGUUGUGAUGUCAUUAUUCGGUCUUAACCAUCAAUAUUUGCUCCUUUUCUCACUCACCUCCAUGUCACCUGCUCUCCCUGUCCUGUCACCAUCCUCAUGCUCUCUCUCUCCCUGUCCUGUCACCAUCCUCAUGCUCUCUCUCCCUGUCCUGUCACCAUCCUCAUGCUCUCUCUCUCCCUGUCCUGUCACCAUCCUCAUGCUCUCUCUCUCUGUCCUGUCACCAUCCUCAUGCUCUCUCUCUCCCUGCCCUGUCACCAUCCUCAUGCUCUCUCUCCCUGUCCUGUCGGCAUCCUCAUGCUCUCUCUCCCUGCCCUGUUCCCCAUGUUUGGUUGUGAGUGAUUGUUUAUUGUAUUUUCGGUCCGUUAUGGUGUGCUCGUGUUGUUACUUUGUACAUUUGUCAUUUUGAGUACGUUGAUUACCCAUAUUUGAUGUCCUGCGCCUGACUCUCUACACCAGCUACACACAGGACCCUUACAGAGCAACGGCUUCUGCUGGGGUACGGCAACUCCACUUGGACAAACCACACGCAGAACUGCAGUACACCGUAAUACUAGAAACGGUAGUAAUAAUAAUGGCAAUUUGUUAAAUUCAGUUCUGAUCACAUUUGCUAAUGAUUAUUUCAGACGGCGCUGCGUGGUUGCCUGUUGGACCAUAGCAAAAUAAAACAGUAUUUAUAUGUUUUAUUUCAAUAUAUUUGGGGGGACAUUUUGAGCAUAUUUGAACAUUGGGGGAUGUGUCCCCCCCAAUAUAUAUAUUAUACUUUCGGCCCUGUGCAGAAUACCUACAGGGUUCUUCUGAUUGACCCAGCUCUGUCAGGAGGAAUGGGCCAAAAUUCACCAAACUUAUUGUGGGAAGCUUGUGGAAGGCUACCCUAAUAUUCAAUUAGUAUUUGGUAGCAUUGCCUUUUAAAUUGUUUAAAUUGGGUCAAACGUUUCGGGUAGCCUUCCACAAACUUCCCACAAUAAGUUGGGGGAAUUUUGGCCCAUUCCCCCUGACAGAGCUGGUGUAACUGAGUCAGGUUUGUAGGCCUCCUUGCUCGCAAACGCUUUUUCAGUUCUGCCCACAAAUGUUCUAUAGGUUUGAGGUCAGGGCUUUGUGAUGGCCACUCCAAUACCUUGACUUUGUUG
rnacentral:lncRNA from 8 species